AGACUACCUGGGGUCCAGCCUGUGGUUCACAUUACACACACAUCUCUCCCUCUCUCUCUCUCUCUAAACUCUCUCUUCCUCUCUGUUAAAUUCGACUCAACCAUGACAAAUUGCUGUGUGAUCUUCUGCGAAAUCUUGAUCGCAAUCUUGCUCCCUCCUAUCGGGGUCUGCAUCAGGCAUGGCUGCUGCAGCGUAGAGUUCUUCAUAUGCUUGGUAUUGACAAUCUUAGGUUACAUUCCUGGAAUAGUUUACGCUCUCUAUGUGAUCCUCUGCGUCGAUCGCAAUAUCACUCGCGCCGAUUACCGUCCACUGGCCUAGUCUCUCUCUCUCAAAAUCUGUGUGUUUAGCUGUAAUCUCAUGGUAUUGUAUGCGAUUAAGUGAAGUUUGUGAUGAUAUGUUAGAUUAAUUUAUGAAAACUCAGGAUGUGUUGGUUACUUUUGAUAUUUGAUUGCUUUAAUUUCUCUAUUAA